CCUACGGGACGCUGCAGUGGGGGAUAUUGCACAAUGGGGGAAACCCUGAUGCAGCGACGCCGCGUGUGGGAAGACGGUCUUCUGGAUUGUAAACCACUGUCCCCAGGGACGAAAAUGACGGUACCUGGGGAGGAAGCUCCGGCUAACUACGUGCCAGCAGCCGCGGUAAUACGUAGGGAGCAAGCGUUGUCCGGAAUUACUGGGUGUAAAGGGAGCGUAGGCGGGGAUGCAAGUUGGGUGUCAAAACUACCGGCUCAACCGAUAGUCGCACUCAAAACUGCAGCUCUUGAGUGAAGUAGAGGCAGGCGGAAUGCCUAGUGUAGCGGUGAAAUGCGUAGAUAUUAGGAGGAACACCAGUGGCGAAGGCGGCCUGCUGGGCUUUUACUGACGCUGAGGCUCGAAAGUGUGGGGAGCAAACAGGAUUAGAUACCCUGGUAGUC
rnacentral:rRNA from 1 species